rnacentral:misc_RNA from 1 species
AAUACAAAUUAACAAGAAAAAAAAGAUAACACAUUAUAACUAAUUUGAAAAUAAUACAAAUUACAACAAUAUCAUAAUUUAAAUAAAAUUUAAAAAGUUUAAUAAAAUAAUAAAUCCUAGAAUUAAAUCACUAAAAUGAUUGAAUAGAUCUCGCCCAAAGCUUAAAUUUGAAGUGAUUUUGGCAUCCAUGCAAUCUUUAAGAUUUACCACACAAAACAUCAAUAUUAGUAAUAUCAAAAGAAAAUAUCAUAAUAACAAAUUAGCAAAAUAAAAAAUUAAAAUCUAAAAGAAAAGUAUAACAAAUAUUACCUGAAAAUUGAAUAUAAAAAUAUUUCAAACCACUAAGGUAGUAUAAUCUCUUGGAUUUCCUCCUUGUCCUUCCACGAUAACAAACAAAUUAUAAAAGUUA